rnacentral:tRNA from 1 species
GAUGAUGUAGCUCAGGGGUAGAGCACUUGCCUAGCAGGGGUGAGGUCCUGGGUUCAAUCCCCAACAUCACA